UGGGGGAUAUUGCACAAUGGGGGGAACCCGUGAUGCAGCGACGCCGCGUGGGUGAAGGAGUAUUUCGGUAUGUAAAGCCCUAUCGGCAGGGAAGAAGCAAGACGGUACCUGACUAAGAAGCCCCGGCUAACUACGUGCC
rnacentral:rRNA from 1 species